rnacentral:tRNA from 1 species
GGGCCCGUAGCGCAGUCAGGAAGCGCGGCGGCCACGCCUGCAGGGCGCCGCAGUCCUAAGCCGCAGGUCCCGGGUUCGAUUCCCGGCGGGCCCGCCA